UAUACAUGCAGUCGAGCGGACCGACGGGAGCUUGCUCCCUUAGGUCAGCGGCGGACGGGUGAGUAACACGUGGGUAACCUGCCUGUAAGACUGGGAUAACUCCGGGAAACCGGGGCUAAUACCGGAUGCUUGAUUGAACCGCAUGGUUCAAUCAUAAAAGGUGGCUUUUAGCUACCACUUACAGAUGGACCCGCGGCGCAUUAGCUAGUUGGUGAGGUAACGGCUCACCAAGGCGACGAUGCGUAGCCGACCUGAGAGGGUGAUCGGCCACACUGGGACUGAGACACGGCCCAGACUCCUACGGGAGGCAGCAGUAGGGAAUCUUCCGCAAUGGACGAAAGUCUGACGGAGCAACGCCGCGUGAGUGAUGAAGGUUUUCGGAUCGUAAAACUCUGUUGUUAGGGAAGAACAAGUACCGUUCGAAUAGGGCGGCACCUUGACGGUACCUAACCAGAAAGCCAUGGCUAACUACGUGCCAGCAGCCGCGGUAAUACGUAGGUGGCAAGCGUUGUCCGGAAUUAUUGGGCGUAAAGCGCGCGCAGGCGGUUUCUUAAGUCUGAUGUGAAAGCCCCCGGCUCAACCGGGGAGGGUCAUUGGAAACUGGGGAACUUGAGUGCAGAAGAGGAGAGUGGAAUUCCACGUGUAGCGGUGAAAUGCGUAGAGAUGUGGAGGAACACCGGUGGCGAAGGCGACUCUCUGGUCUGGUACUGACGCUGAAGGCGCGAAAGCGUGGGGAGCGAACUGGAUUAGAUACC
rnacentral:rRNA from 1 species